AGUAGUAGUAAACGGAAGUAAACAGUGACCAAUAACCAUUUCCACGUUAGCGGUUUUAUUGUUAUUUAGACGUUUAUUACAUCCUGGAACUCAACAUAUGACUAAGUUAACUGCACAGCAUUACAUACUUACCCCAGGUAGUAUUUAACUCGCCUUGGAGACAGGACCUGGUUGAUGCUAGGUAAUGCUAGCUAGGUAGCCGCUAAUGGCUAACUGUAUGGUUUUUCACACUCAAAUAUCCUCCAUCAUGGAGGUGCUAGCUAAUGCAGCCGUGGCAGAGAUCUGUAAACUCGUAGACGACGACUAUGCAGUGUUUCGUUUGGAAAUGUCUCAAAGCCAGAAAGAAAACAGGGGAUUGCGGAGGAAACUACAGCAACUGGAACUGAAGGUGUCACGGGAGCGCGCAGAGAGGACCAUUAGAGAGCGGGUCCUCGCCAGUCGUCCCAGUAGUGUCAAGAUCCUCGACCGAUACAGAGGAAUGGCAAGAGGUGAAGGACAUCUCACUGGAGGUCACAGGAGCUUUGUGAAGCCAGCGGGACACAACACAUGGAGAGAUGACCAACCAAUCACUGGUGAUGAGGGGAGUGGAACCUCAACCCAGCAUGUUAUCGUGAUAGAGUCUGUAGAUGCAGAGGCUGCAGGUCCUGGGGUCAAGCAGCAGAUGACUAAAGGAAAGAAGGACCCACAGCACAGCAGAGACAUCCAGACCGAGGCAGUGGCUGGAGUGGUGCCCCCUGUGGCCACGGAGGUCCUCUCCGCUGUGCCCCAGGCCAGGACCAUACGCAGCAUCAUGGAGGAGGAGGAGGGUCCAGAGGUGCUGCUGGUGAAGGAGGAGGGUCUGGGGAACCCUGAGGGAACCAUGGUCAUGGAGGACAACCAGACUACACCACCUCCUGAAACCACAGAGGAACUAGCUGAGCAGCAUAGGACCACACACAGUCUCACUGAGUCAGUAGACAUGGAGGAUGGGAAGCCUGAUCUGCUGCUGGUCAAAGAGGAGACAAUAGAAGACGGACCAGAGAGCAUUGACCUGCUGAGUGGACUAAAGAUGGGGGAGCAAGGUGGUUGGCUGGAGGCUAACAGAAGAGACUGGGUGGCCAUCUUGGAUUUCCAGACCCAGACGGGUGCAGCCAAGGGCCCAGGGGACAACAUUACUGAGCAGGCGAGGACCAGAAGUGACAUAGUGGAGUCUGCAGUCCAUGAGGACCUGCUGAUAUCUGGUGUUGCUGACGUGAGAGACUGGACCUCUGAGGUGGGUGGUCACAAACCCUGGCCCCGGAUCAAAACCCUGGAUCUGGAGCCAUCACUCUUCCUUCCCGAGUCGGAACUAGGACCCAACCGUGAGGGACAGAGACUCCACCACCACACAAAACACAACCAGUGGACAGGUGGACUGAACAACCUCAGUCCUGGUGGUCAUCAGAGAGACAGAGGCUGCAGUCAGGGAUCCAGUCUGCAGUCUGGGGCUGAUAAAGAUAGACCCUCCUGUUCCUAUGAUACAAACACCACAAUAUCCAUGAUGAACAGAUCAGGUCACCCUGGGCUUCAGCCUUCACAGAGAGUGACGGGAGCCCCCCCUGGAGGUAGUCUACCAGCCAGUCGGUCUUCUCCUUCAGGGCCUCGUCCAAUUCCUGGUGAAUGGGUUCAUAGAAGGUCUGGACCUGGGUCUAGCCUUCCUCAGCUACCUCAUGGUUACCCCACCAAUACAGACAGGGUCAGGAUGGGUGUUCACCAUAAGAGGUACCUAGCCUAUAACACAGCACACAAUCCCAACAACACCCAAACAAUGUCUAGAGGUCAAGGAGGGAGCUCAAAAACUCUUGCUUCUACCUCUGGUGUCAUUGGGUUACAAUGUGGGAGGCCGAGCAUUAGGAUGGACGCCGACAAGCCAUAUGCCUGCCCCACGUGUGGGAAGCGCUUUGCUGAGGCAAGGUAUGUGAAGCAGCACCAGACUGUUCACACCAAAGACAGCUUCAAGUGCAAAUUAUGUCACAAGAGCUUCUCCUUCCUGAGUAGCCUUAUCAGACAUAGGAGUGUCCACAAUGGGGAGAAAUCGUAGCAGUGUGGCUUAAGAUGUACACAGGGGAUGUCUUUAUCUAACAUAUUAUAGUUAUCAUGUGAAAUGUCUAGGGAUAAGAGGGUAAUUAACCACAUACCCCUCAUUAACCGCUUUAACUUUUAAUUUGAAACAGGCUUGCGUUAAUACCUGAUUUUAGAGAGAUAGUAAACCUAGGCUAGAACAAGUAUAGUUUAAUAUUCUCUGGUCUGUUGAAACCAAGAUUGAACUCUUUGGCCUGAAUGCCAAGCGUCACGUCUGGAGGACACCUGGCAGGGACUGGGAGACUAGUCAGGAUCGAGGCAAAGAUGAACGGAGCAAAGUGCAGAGCGAUCCUUGAUGAAAACCUGCUCCAGAGCACUCAGGACCCCUGGGGUGAAGGUUCAUCUUCCAACAGGACCCUAAGCACACAGCCAAGGUAACGCAGGAGUGGCUUUGGGACAAGUCUGAAUGUUCUUGAGUAUCCAGCCAGAGCCCAGACUUGAACCCAAUCAAACAUUUCUGGAGAGACCUGAAAAUAGCUGUGUAGCUACACUCCCCAUCCAACCUGACAGAGCAUGAGAGGAUCUGCAGAGAUGAAUGGGAGAAACUCCCCAAAUACAGGUGUGCCAAGCUUGUAGCGUUAUACCCAAGAAGACUCAAGGCUGAAAUCGCUUCCAAAGGUGCUUUAACAAAGUACUGAGUAAAGGCUCUGAAUACUUGUGCAAAUGUGAUAUUUCAGUUUUAUAUUUUUAAUAAAUUAGCAAUAGUUUAUAAAAACCUGUUUUUGCUUUGUUAAUAUGGGGCAUUGUGUGUGUGGAUUGAUGAAUGGAAAAAAUGAUCUAACACAUUUUAGAAUAAGGCUGUAAUGUAACAAAAUGUGGAAAAACAGGGCAUUGUGGAGGAAACUACAGCUACUGGAACUGAAGGUGGCACGAUAGCACAUCCCCGCCAGUUGUCCCAGUACUGUCAAGAUCCUCGACCGAUACAGAGGAAUGGCAAAAGCUGAAGGACAUCUUAUUGGAGGCCACAGGAGUUUGGGAAAUCAGUGGGACACAAUACAUGCAGAGAUGACCAACCAAUCACUGUUGAUGAGGUGGCAGACAUCUCACUGGAGGCCACAGGAGCUUUGUGAAGCCAGCGGGACACAAUACAUGGAGAGAUGACCAACCAAUCACUGUUCAUGAGGGGAGUGGAACCUCAACCCAGCAUUUUAUCAUGAUAGAGGUUAGUUUAAUAGUGUUGCAUUACAAAUUACAGUUACUUUGUAAAUCAAAUGUGUCCCGUUUGUUUCAGAAAGGCUCCCCUCAGCUAUUCACUUCAGCUAUCUGCCUUAGGGGAACUUGAGAGACUUCCCUACAACAUUAUCCAAUACGCCAUGGUUCCUUGUUUUGUAGAUUGAAAAUUUGCUUGAAAUGUGUGUGUGUAUAUAUAUAUAUAUUAAAAUGUAUGUGUUUCCAAGGUAAUGUACUUACCAUAUGCCGGUUUUCAACGUAUCUGACGACCAAGAAGAAGCAUAAAGCCGAAACGUUAAUCAUUAAAUGUUUAGCUUUUUUUUUUUUGUACUGGCUGGCAAUGUUCAGUAAAAAAGGUCCAGUGUAAUCUAAUAUAAAGGUUUUUAUCGUCCUGUGAGUCCAACUUGAGCAGGCAUGCUAACAGGGUUGCUGAGUUGUAGUUCAAAUGAGACUUUAAUAACUUAUUCUUAUUUGUUGAGUGUUAAAUAUUUAGAUAAAAGGCAUCUCAAUACACAAAUACGAAUAUAAUUGUAUCUUCAAAAAGUAUUCACAGCUCUUGACUUUUUCCACAUUUUGUUAUGUUACUGCCUGAAUUGAACAUGUAUUCAAUUUAAAUGUUGUCACUGAUCUCCACACAAUACCUCAUAAUGUCAAAGUGGAAUUUUGUUUGUAGAACAAUUUAGAAAUGAAUACAAAAUGAAAAUCUGAAAUGUAUUGAGUCACAUUUUCAACCCUUUUGUUAUGGCAAGUCUAAAGUUUAGGAGUACAAAUCUGCUUAACAAAUCGCAUAAUAUGUUGCAUGGACUUAUUCUGUAUUCAAUAAGAGGUUAACAUGAUUUUUGAAUAACUAGCCCAUUUCUAUACCCCACACAUACAAUUAUCUGUAAGGUCCCUCAAUUGAGCAGUGAAUUUCAAGCAGAUAUUCAACCACAAAGACCAGGUAGGUUUUUCCAUGCCUCGCAAAGAAGGGCACCUUUGAGCAUGGUGAAGUAAUUAAUUAGGCUAUAGAUGGUGUAUCAAUACACCCAGUCACUACAAAGAUACAGGCAUCCUUCCUAACUCAGUUGCCGGAGAGGAAUGAAAUUGCUCAGGGUUUCACCAUCAGGCCAAUGGUGAUUUUAAAACGGUUACAGAGUUUAAUGGCUGUGAUAGGAGAAAUCUGGGGAUGGCUCAACAACAUUGUAGUUAGUCCACAAUACUAACGUAAAUGACUGAGUGAAAAUAAGAAAGCCUAUACAGAAUAAAAAUAUAACAAAACAUGCAUCCUGUUUGCAAUAAGGCACUUCGGAAAGUAUUCAGACCUCUUGACUUUUUCCACAUUUUGUUAGGUUACAGCCUUAUUCUAAAAUUGAUUGAAUCGGUUUUUCCCCCUCAGUCUACACACAAUACCCCAUAAUGACAAAGCAAAAACAAUUUCAGACAUUUUUGCUAAUUUAUCAAAUUUCAACUGAUAUGUAAAUGUGAUAAGUAUUCAGACCCUUUACUCAGUACUUUGUUGAAGCACCUUUGGCAGCGAUGACAGCUGUGAGUCUUCUCGGGUAUGACGCUACAAGCUUGGCACACCUGUAUUUGAGGAGUUUCUCACAUUCCUCUCUGUAGUUCCUCUCAAGCUCUGUCAGGUUGGAUGGGAACAUUGCUGCACAGCUAUUUUCAGUUCUCUCCAGAGAUAUUCGAUCGGGUUCUGGCUGGGCCACUCAAGGACAUUGAGACUUGUCCCGAAGCUACUCCUGUGUUGUCUUGGCUGUGUGCUUAGGGUUGUUGUCAUGUUGGUAGGUGAACCUUCGCCCUAGUUGGAGGUCCUAAGCACUCUGGAGCAGGUUUUCAUCAAGGAUCUCUCUGUACUUUGCUCCGUUCAUCUUUCCCUAGAUCCUAACUACUCUCCCAGUCCCUGCCGCUGAAAAACAUCCCCACAGCAAGAUGCUGCCAUCACCAUGCUUCACCGUAAGGAUGGUGCCAGGUUUCCUCUCAAAGUGACGCUUGGCAUUCAGGCCAACAAGUUUAAUCUUGGUUUCAUCUGACCAGAGAAUCUUGUUUCUCAUGGUCUGAGCGUCGUUAGGUGCCUUUUGUCAAACUCCAAGUGGGCCUCCCUGACCAAGGCCCUUCUUCUCCAAUUGCUCAGUUUUGCCCGGGCGGCCAACUCUUGGUGGUUGGACGAGUCUUGGUGGUUCCAAACUUCUUCCAUUUAAGAAUGAUCGGGCCACUGUGUUCUUGGGGACCUUCAAUGCUGCAGAAAUGUUUUGGUACCCUUCCCCAGAUCUGUGCCUCGACACAAUCCUGUCUCCGAGCUCUACGGCAAUUCCUUCAACUUCAUUGCUUGAUGUUUGCUCUGACAUGCACUGUCAACUGUGGGACCUUCUAUAGACAGGUGUGUGCCUUUCCAAAUCAUGUACAAUCAAUUUUAUUUACUACAGGUGCACUCCAAUCAAGUUAUAGAAACAUCAAGGAUGAUCAAUGGAAACAGGAUGCACCUGAACUCAAUUUCGAGUCUCAAAGCAAAGAGUCUGAAUACUUAUGUAAAUAAGGUAUUUAUAAAAACCUGUUCUCACUUUGUCAUUAUAGGGUAUUGUGUGUAGAUUGAUGAAAAAUGAUUUUUUUUAAAUACGGCUAUAAUGUAACAAAAUGUGGAAAAAGUCAAGGGGUCGAAAUACUUUCCGAAGGCACUGUAAAUAUGAAAAAAAAACUGUGGCAAAGAAAUUAAAGCUUUCAAUUCAGGACAUAAAGUUAUGUUUGGGGCAAACACACAUCACUGAGUGCCGUUCAUAUUUUCAAGCAUGGUGGUGGCUGCAUCAUGUUUUGGGUAUGCUUGUCAUCGGCAAAGACUAGGGAGUUUUUUAGGAUAAAAGGUAACGGUAUAGAGCUAAGCACAGGCAAAAACCUAGCGAAAAAUCUGGUUCAGUCUGCUUUCCAACAGACAAUGGGAGACAAAUUCAGCUUUCAGCAGGACAAUAACCUAAAACAAGGCCAAAUAUACAUUGGAGUUGCUUAGCAAGAUGACAUUGAAUGUUCCUAAGUGGCCUAGUUACUGUUUUGACUUAAAUUGGCUUGAAAAUCUAUGGCAAGAAUUGAAAAUGGCUGUCUAGAAAGGAUCAACAACCAGCUUGACAGCUUGAAGAAUUAAAAAAAGAAUAAUGUGCAAAUAUUGUACAAUCAAUCCAGGUGUGCAAAGCUCUAAUAGACUUACCCAGAAAGACUCACAGCUGUAACCGCUGACAAAGGUGAUUCUAACAUGUAUUGUUUAAUGGGUGUGAAUACUUUUGUAUAUGAGAUUUCUGUAUUUCAUUUUCAAUAAAUUUGCUAACAUUUAAAAAAAUAUGUUUUCACUUUGUCAUUAUGGAGUAUUGUGUUUUCAGUGGCUUGCAAAAGUAUUCACCUCCCUUGGCAUUUUUCCUAUUUUGUUUCCUUACAACCUGGAAUUAAAGUGGAUUUUUGGGGGGUUUGUAUCAUUUGAUUAACACAACAACACUUAAGAUGCAAAAUAGUUUUUAUUGUUUAACAAAUAAAGAAAUAAGACAAAA